CCGUUCCCAUCCCGAACACGGAAGUUAAGACCUGUAACGCCGAUGGUACUGCGAGGGUGACUUCGUGGGAGAGUAGGUCGCCGCCAAUA
rnacentral:rRNA from 1 species